rnacentral:rRNA from 1 species
GACGAACGCUGGCGGCGUGCUUAACACAUGCAAGUCGAACGAAGAGCGAUGGAAGCUUGCUUCUAUUAAUCUUAGUGGCGAACGGGUGAGUAACGCGUAAUAAACCUGCCCUCCAGAGGGGGACAACAGUCGGAAACGAGGGCUAAUACCGAAAACGAUCUAACCUCGGCAUCGAGGAAAGAUGAAAGGUGGCCACUACAUGUAACCUAUCACCGAAGGAGGGGAUUGUGGCUGAUUAGCUGGAUGGUGGGGUAACGGCCCACCAAGUCGCUGAUCAGUCGCCGGGCUGAGAAGAUGAACGGCCACAUUGGGACUGAGACACGGCCCAGACUCCUACGGGAGGCAGCAGGGGGGAAUCUUCCGCAAUGGACGAAAGUCUGACGGAGCAACGCCGCGUGAGUGAUGACGGCCGUCGGGUUGUAAAGCUCUGUUAAUCGGGACGAAAGGCCUUCUUGCGAAUAGUGAGAAGGAUUGACGGUACCGGAAUAGAAAGCCACGGCUAACUACGUG